GGCCCUAUCAUCAAGCUUCAGCUGGGAAGAAAAGUUUACAUCAUCAUAAGCUCACCAUCAAUCGCAAAACAAAUCCUCAAAGACCACGACGCCAUCUUCGCCAACCGCGACAUUCCGGUGGCGGCCAUAAAAGGAACCUUUGGCGGACUCGAAAUUGUGUGGAGAUCCAAUGGCCCAGAAUUGCACAAGCUACGAAAGCUCGUCGUAAGUGAAAUCAUGAGCAACAAAGGCCUCAAUGCUUGCUACGAGUUUCGCCGUCGAGAGAUCCGACAUAUGGUGAAGAAUAUUCAUGGAAAAAUCGGGUCACUCAUUAACCUCAGUGAACAAAUAUUCUUAACAACGUUCAACGUUACGGUUAACAUGCUUUGGGGUGGUUCGUUGAAUGGAGAAGAAUCGAACCUUGGGAUUGAAUUUAAGGAUCAAUUCGAGGAAUUUAUGAGAUUGAUGGUAGAACCCAAUGUUUCUGAUAUGUUCCCGGUGCUUAGGCCAUUUGAUUUACAAGGAAUUGAAUCCAAAGCCAAGAAAAAUAUUUCAUGGUUUUAUGAGUUUUUCGAAUCGGUGAUAGAGCAGCGAAGGAAGCUCGGAGAGGGACCAAAAAUGGCUAGUAGUAAGGAUUUUUUGGAGCAAUUGUUGGAGCUGAACCAAACAGGAGAUGUCAAAAUUUCAUUAUCCAUGAAGGAAAUAAACGCUGUGCUGCUGGUAAGCAUACACACUAAAUUUUGAAAUCCGGAAUUCUAAAAAUAUAACUACAUUACUAAAUUUCAAAAAUUUACAAAAAAAAAACAUAUUUUAACCUAGGGGGUAUAUCAGUGUAAAACAAGUUUAAGUGGUUUUCCAUUCUUUCUUAAUUUUUUAAACAAAUAAUAUUUUAAUAACAACGGUCAUAUUUCNNNNNNNNNNNNNNNNNNNNNNNNNNNNNNNNNNNNNNNNNNNNNNNNNNNNNNNNNNNNNNNNNNNNNNNNNNNNNNNNNNNNNNNNNNNNNNNNNNNNUUUAGUUAUAAGCUUUAUGAUUUUGGAGAUAAAAUUUAGGAUUUUGUAAGUUAAUUUUUUAUUCAAAAUAUUAAUUCAACUGUUAAUAUCAAAAAUAUUUUCCGUCAAAAUUUACCAACGUGAAAUAUUAAUUUGAGUGUUGUCAUAUGUGGUGAUAAUAAUUGAUAAAUAAAAUAAAUAUACUAACUUAAUAAAAUUUAACUGAAAUACUAAAGAUGUUAAUGACUGCACUAUAAUUUUUAAAUUAAAAAUAUAAAGGUAUUUUAACCUUUGAAUAAAGGGUACAUUUAAUUGGAUUGGAACUUAUUUUAAAGUAUAUAAAAUCAUUUAAUUUGGCUAUUGAUAUAAAAAUAAACAUCCAACCUACCCUAAUGUAUUUUAAUUUUACACUCUGAUCAAAGUUGAAUUAAUAGAAUUAAAUUAAUUAAAUUAUUUCGAUUCGAUAAAUUAAUUCGAUUUUAAUUAAAUUUUGCUCAACUUUAAUCCUUUGUCUCUAAUUGUGAGUAUAGAAUAUUGUAAUUGGCGCUACGGACACGACAUUUACAACAAUAGAGUGGGCGAUGACGGAAUUACUACGACAUCCAGAUAAAUUGCGAAGAGUCAUUGAGGAAUUGGAUGCAAUAAUCGGUGACCAAAACAUUGUUGAAGAGUUCCAUCUUCCUCGCCUACUCUAUUUAGAAGCUGUGGUGAAAGAGACGUUACGAAUUCACCCACCGGCUCCUUUCCUAAUGCCACACAUGCCGAGCGAGACCAUCGUCGUAGCCGGUUACACUAUCCCAAAAAAUUCCAAUAUUUUCUUCAAUGUGUGGGUAAUACAAAGGGACGCCGACUUCUGGGAAGACCCUCUUCAAUUCGAGCCAGAAAGGUUCUUGAAUGUCAUUGAGAAAAGAAAUUAUAAGGGAAAUAGUUUCGAUUUUUUCCCGUUUGGAUCGGGGAGGAGGAUUUGUAUUGGGAUUUCAAUGGCAGAGAAAAUUAUGAUGCUGGUGUUGGCGACGUUGUUGUAUUGUUUCGAAUGGGAAUUGCCGAAUGGGCAAAAACCUGAUGCGAAAGAGCAACUACGAUUGGUGUUGUCGAAGGUGGAGCCGCUUCUUGUUGUGCCCAUUUCGCGUUCAUCUAAUUCAAUGCAAUAUCAAUAAAUUUGUGGUUAAAAUAUGCUUUAAGCCAUUAUGCUUUUUAUUAGUAUUAUAAUAACCGUAUGGCUAUAUGGUUAUUUAUAUAUAUAUAUAUAUCUUGAAACUGUAUCAUGCACUCUUAUGUUGGAAUGAAAAAUGUAUUUUUAAUCUAUAUAUUUGCAUGUUUAUAUAUAUGUGUCACGUAAAUGUGUUUUGAUAUGAUGUUAUACGUAUGGCCAUCUGCCAAUGGAUAUAUUUGUUUGUGUUAUUUCAUUGUUCAUUUACGCGACUAUCAACUCAUGUUUUCAUGUUACUCAAACGUUUACUCAGAUUAUUUCGCAUUAAAAUUUAAGUGAUUUUACAUAUUUUUAUAAUCUUUUAUAUGAUUAAUAUUUUAAUAAUUUAAUCAUCAUAUUUCAUGCUCUAUUUAUGUAGAUUAUAUACAUCAAAUUUAAUAUAAAUUAAUAAAUUCUAACUUUUAUUUUAUGUAAAAAAAAACUUUUAACUCAAAUAUCAAACAAAAACGGACAAAUUAUUCCUUACAUGUUAAAUCAAAUAUCAAACAAAAACGGAGGUGAAAGGGGUGAGUGUUCAAUUUCGGGUUAGUCGAGUUAAUAAGUCUUAUUUUAUCACCCUAAUUUGAUUUGAAUUUUUUUUUCAAAUCGAGUAGAGUGAAAUCAAAUCGAGUGAAAUUGUUCGAAUUAAAUUUUAAAAAACUAAACUUGUCGAAUUGGUAAUUUACUUGUUUAAGCCUUCAAAAUUAUUAUUUUGGAUUCUUUUAAAAAAAUUUAUGUUUUCUUUAGAUUUUUUUAGAUUUUCUAUUUUCAUAAAUGUUUUGAAUUUUUUAAAAUUAUUAUGAUUUUUUUUUGUUGUUGAAUGAGAAUAAUUUGUUCAUUUUCGAAAUUGAUAGGGGAGAAAGGAGUAUUUACAUCAAUAUAUUAUUCAAGUCAUUUGAAUUGUGAAAUUUAACUCAACUUGAACUUGAAAAACCAAAUUACUUAUUCAAGUUGACUCAAAAAACCGAAUAACUCAAAUUAGAGGUGCUCAUGGGCCGGACGGCCCGACUCGGCCCUAUGGCCCGCCCGAAAUAUGGGAGGAUUCAGGUAAAAAUAUAGGCCCAAAAUAUGGGUUUGGGCAAAAAAAAUGAGGCCUGUUUAGAAAACGGGUCGGGCCUCGAGCACCACUUUUUUUGCCCGGGCCUAGCCGAAUAUAAUAAAUAUAUUUUUUUUUAUUUUUUAAUUUUAAAAUAUUUUUAAAAUUCUUUUUUUUUAUUUUUUAUUUUUAAAAUAAAUUUUAGUUAUUUAUUAAAAAAUGGGCCGGGCCGGGCCCGGGCCUAGGAUGAGGGCCAAAAUUUUUUCUGGGCCCAGCAUGAACUCUGCCCGGCCCGACCCAUGAGCACCUCUAACUCAAAUAACUCAAUUCGAUUAACUCGAAAUUCAAAAUUUUUUUAAUUCUUUCAAGUAAAAUCGAGUUUUGCUCACACUUAACUAUCAACUUUCACCUUAUGAUCUCUCACCAUUUUUAUAUUUUCUAAUUUAUAGAUGGAUGAUUGUGUAAACUAAUUACAAACAUCAUUCCUUUUAAUUCAUUCCUUUUUAUAAUUCAUAUAAAUCGUUAAAAAUUCACAUUCUAUUAAACAAAAAUAGGUACACAUAUAAUUACUGAAAAAAUAUUCUUAUUUUUAUUUUUUAAAUCAAAUUUUUAUUUUUAUUUUUAUUUUUAUCUAAAAUAUCUGAAAUAAUAAUAAGAUUAAAAUUAUUUUCAUCAAAAAGUUAAAACCAUGAAAUAAUUUUUAAAAACCAUAAUUUAUUAUAUUAUCAAACAACAUAAUCGUAUUUGAUAUGUAAGAUUAAUAAACAUAUCGAUAAAAGUACUAUAGAGGCUUCUAUAUUAGAAGUCAGAUUGUAUUUUGUUUUCUCUACUAACAAAAUAGUCAAAUUAGUCUUUAUACAUUAGAUCAAAGAGCAAAUUAAUCAUUUAUAUUAAAAUUUUCAUUCAUUUGUACUAUUAAAAAACUUAUGUGACUGAUGAAAACAACCAGAGGGUGACACAUGGAUUAAAAGUUUUGAAUUACCUUUGAAUUUAAAUUUGAAAAAGAAAUAGUAAAUAAGAUGUUUUGAUUGGAUUAAUAGUAGUCCUUAGAUAAAAAUUUCAAUAAUUAUGUAACAUCCUCGAGAAGUGAAUAGUGUUAAUUCGGGUUGGCACGUGCUUGAAAUUUUCGGAGUAGAUAAAAAAAUAUACUUAUUAAUAUUAGUAGGGAAGGUGAUUGGAAAUUAUAAGAAAUUAAAAGGACUUUUGAAUUUAGGAAAAUUAAUUUAAGAAAUGGAUUAAAUUGUAGAAGUGUGAAAAGUGUUGGGUCAUAGUGUAAAAAUAAAAAUAGGGAAAGGAUUAGAUUAAAUGGAUGAGAAAAAGAGCAAGGACUUGGAGUAGAAUUUAACCAUGAAAGAACAGAAAGGAGUGGAUGAUAUUGAAGACGAAUGACAUCACACAUGUGGCAUGGUGAUGAGAUUUUUCUUUAAUAAAAUAUAUAUAAAGAAAUCCUCAAAGACCACGACGCCAUCUUCGCCAACCGCGACAUUCCGGUGGCGGCCAUAAAAGGAACCUUUGGCGGACUCGACAUUGUGUGGAGAUCCAAUGGCCCAGAAUUACACAAGCUACGAAAGCUCGACGUAAGUGAAAUCAUGAGCAACAAAGGCCUCAAUGCUUGCUACGAGUUUCGCCGACGAGAGAUCCGACAUAUGGUCAAGAAUAUUCAUGGAAAAAUCGGGUCACCCAUUAACCUCAGUGAACAAUAUUCUUAACAAUGUUCAACGUUACGGUUAACAUGCUUUGGGGUGGUUCGUUGAAUAGAGAAGAAUCGAACCUUGGGCAUGAAUUUAAGGAUUGAUUUGAGGAAUUUUUGAGAUUGAUGGUAGAACCCAAUGUUUCUGAUAUGUUCCCGGUGCUCAGGCCAUUUGAUUUGCAAGGAAUUGAAUCCAAAGCCAAGAAAAAUAUUUCAUGGUUUUAUGAGUUUUUCGAAUCGGUGAUAGAGCAGCGAAGGAAGCUCGGAGAGGGACCAAAAAUGGCUAGUAGUAAGGAUUUUUUGGAGCAAUUGUUGGAGCUGAACCAAACAGGAGAUGUCAAAAUUUCAUUAUCCAUGAAGGAAAUAAACGCUGUGCUGCUGGUAAGCAUACACACUAAAUUUUGAAAUCCGGAAUUCUAAAAAUAUAACUACAUUACUAAAUUUCAAAAAUUUACAAAAAAAAAACAUAUUUUAACCUAGGGGGUAUAUCAGUGUAAAACAAGUUUAAGUGGUUUUCCAUUCUUUCUUAAUUUUUUAAACAAAUAAUAUUUUAAUAACAACGGUCAUAUUUCAUAAAUUAUUCAUGUACAUCAUGCACAUCAAGUUUGGUAUAAAUUAAAAAAAAUUUAAUUAUUCGCUUUUUGAAAAAAAAAAUUCAAAUGUUCAUUCGUUAAAAUAUUAAUCGUACAAGAAUAUACAUAAAUAUGUAAAUUACUCAAAUUUCACAUCGAUGUAAAUUCAUCCUUUCCCUUGUAUAUAGGCAUUGUUUAAAAAAAAUACAUAACAAUCCAUGAAAUUGGUCGGUUUAGUUGUAAACAAAAUGAUUUUGGAGAUUUCUGGUAUGUUUUGUAGGGCGUGUAAUUGGUUGAUUUAAUUAGUUCAGCUUAAAAAAAUUAAUCGAUUUUUCUAAAAUAAAAAUUAGUAACCGAGUUGAUUUAAAGAUGAAAACACAAUAAUCGAACCGAUUCUGAUUUAAUUAAAAAAAAAGGAAUAUUGAUGGAUUUCAUUAAAAUAUAUUUAGGUUUAGGUUUUGAAUAACCUUAAAACACAUUGUUAGUGCUUUUAUUUCGAUAAAAUUUAAGAUUUUGUUUCUAAGAAGUUAAUUUUUUUUAUUCAAAAUCUUAAUUCAACGGUUAAUAUGAGAAAUAUUUUUUAUCAAAAUUUAUCAACUUGAAAUAUUAAUAUUUUCAUAUAAUUUGAUAAUAAUUGAUAAAAACUAAGUUAAUAAAAAUUAACUGAAUUAUUAAAGGUGUUAAUUAAACUACAAUUUUUAAAUUGAAAAUAUAAUGAAUAAAUCUCAAAUCCCAUGUAAGUAGAAGUAUUUUGACCUUUGAAUAAUGGGUACAUUUAAUUGAUUGUAACUUAUUUUAAAGUAUAUAAAAUCAAGCUAUUGAUAUACAUUCAACCUAUAUAAUGUAUUUUAAUUUAACGCUCUAAUCAUAAUUAAAUUAAUUAAAUUAUCUCGAUUAAUUUGAUUUUAAUUAAAAUCUGCUCAACUUUAAUCCUUUGUCUCAAAUUGUGGGUAUAGAAUAUUGUAAGUGGUGCUACGGACACAACAUUUACAACAAUGGAGUGGGUGAUGACGGAAUUACUACGAUACCCAGAUCAAUUGCGAAGAGCCGUCGACGAGUUGGAUGCAAUAAUUGGUGGCCCAAACAUCGUUGAAGAGUUUCGUCUUCCUCGCCUACUCUAUUUAGAAGCUGUGGUGAAAGAGACAUUACGAAUUCACCCACCUGCUCCUUUGCUAAUGCCACACAUAUCGAGUGAGACCAUCGUCGUAGCCGGUUACACUAUCCCCAAAAAUUCCAAUAUUUUCUUCAACGCGUGGGCAAUACAAAGGGACACUGAGUUCUGGGAAGACCCUCUUCAAUUCGAGCUAGAAAGGUUCUUGAAUGUCAUUGAGAAAAGGAAUUAUAAGGAAAAUAGUUUCGAUUUUUUUCCCGUUUGGAUCGGGGAGGAGGAUUUGUGUUGGGGUUUCAAUGGCAGAGAGAAUUAUGAUGUUGGUGUUGGCGACAUUGUUGCAUUGUUUCGAAUGGGAAUUGCUGAAUAGGCGAAAACCUGAUGUGAAAGAGCAACUACGAUUGGUGUUGUCAAAGGUGGAGCCACUUGUUCUUGUGCACAUUGCCCGUUCAUCUAAUUCAAUGCAAUAUCAAUAAAUUUAUGGUUAAAAUAUGCUUUAAGUCAUUAUACUUUUCAUAAAUUUUAAAUUUAAUCCUUGUACUUUUAUUUAUAGAAAUUUAAUCCAUCUACUUAUUUUCAUUAGUAUUCACGCUAAGGUUUAGGUUAAUUCGAAUAUCUUUUUGGAUUCAAUUUAACUCAAAUUUUGAGUUUUAUUUAAAAUUUGGAACUUAAUCAAAAUUUAAACUUUGUUAUGAAUCUCAAAAUUCGAUUUUUUUUUUUGAAAUGAAACCCGAAAUGUGGAAUUACAUAAAACUUGAAAUUGAAGCUCGAGACUAGUGAAUCAAUGUUAUAUUAAGGUAUAAAUAAGAUAUUUUGUGUUUAUUUUUGGGAUCUUACAGUAUAUUUUCCGAUUAGUUUUCCAAGCUCUAUUUUCCGGUUAUUUUCUAUUUCUUUGAAAAGUGCAACACCAAUUUUGUUUCAUCUUCUUUAUUCCGGUGUACAAAUAUUGAAAUACUAUGUUAACUUUGGGGGCGAUAUCCACUAAACGAUUACAGUGAUUAGUACGAAUUUGCUUAAAAGGUAAUGGUUCUUCCACAACACAGUUAUUAUUUAAUUUAUUUACACACAAUUUAUUUAUCCAAUUAGUGCUAAAAAUUUUGUUUUGCAGUGGUAUAUUUCUUACAAUAAUUUCAUAAUUUAUUUGUACAAAUCAGUUAAUGUGAAAAACGUUAAGAGUUAAAUUUUUUAGAAUCAAUACUAAAUUGACAUAAUAUAGAAAUGUUGAAUGUUAAAGUUAACGGGUGGUGAUAAACUACCAUUAUUUUAUAACUUUUCAUAAUUGAGCAAUUAAUAAAUAAACUUGAGUAUAAUUUAUGUUUUUAAAAAAAAAUAGAAGUAUGUGAUAGAGAGAGAUAUCAACGAUGUUUUAUCCCACCAACUCCCUCUAUGCCCUGGAGUACUUUAGCCAACCAGCAUAAAUCUCUUUCCAAUAAGCCUUCACUAAUUCAACUAGUUACAAGAUAAAAUAUUUGGCAUAGUUUUUGGUAUUUCUUCAUAAUAAUUGGUAUACUCUUAUAAUUUUCAAUACACUUUUAUAAUUUUUGGUAUUUUUUUGAAAUGAAAAUUUGAAAUGAAGUAUAAUUUUAGAGUAAAAAGGUUUUCAAUGCCAUUUUUUAGACCAAAAAAUUAUUAACUUUUAAAUUAUUAUUUUUUAUGCUAAUAUCAAUAUAUAGUAAUAAGGUUUUAAAAAUUAAUAAAUGAAAUAAAUUUAAUAAGGUCAACCAAUUUUUGAUAGGCACUUAUACUUUUUGGUACUCUUUAAUAUUUUUUGAUAUUUCUUUGUAUUUUUUUAUAUUCUCUCCUAAGUUUUUCAUUUUUGGGUUGAUUAAAGGUCAAAACUUUGCAUUUUGAUUUUUGUUUCUAUUUGGUUGGUGAGAAAGAUGAAAGAAAAUACUCUAACAUCACUUUAUUUAUUUAUUUAUUUUUAAAUAAAAGGAUGCUUUUUCACACUAAAAUAAGGAUGUCAAAAUUCAAAUUACUUCAUGAAUUUUGAAUUAAUCGACUCUGAAUGAAGCUGAUUUUUUUAUUUGAAAAAUGGAUAUGGGACGGGGUGGGUGGAUUUUUUUCUGUUGAAUAGUGAGUACGGAACGGCUAUGGUAAUUUCUUGCCAUUUUCGACCUGCUCCACUAUAUAUAUUUAUUGUUUUAUCCUUGUAUAUAUAAACUAUUAAAAGGGUAAAAAUAUAAUAAUGGAAUAUAGAAAAAAAUUAUAUAUUUUAUGUUUAAAUAUUUUUUAAAGAAUUAUACUUAAAUAUUUACCUGACUUCAAAAAUAUUGAAAAAAAUUAAAAACAAGUAUCAACAAUUAAAUUGAAGCGGAGCGGAGUGGGGUGGAGAUGGAUGCAUCCAACAUCCAUGGAGGUGGUAGUGGAUUUCAAGAUUAUACAUCUAUAGUAGAGCGGGAUGGGCGGUAAAGCAGAGUGUGUCAAUUAUGAAACAGUAAUGGAUUUAGCAAUAUCAGUCAUGCCUCACCCAAUUGCCAUCCCUACAUCCUUCUCUAUAUUCAAAUUUAGUCAUAAUUUUCUCUAUUUCUUUUAAUUGAAGUAUCCGGUUAAUAACUUAAUUAUUAAAAAACAAAAAAAAGAGUAAAGUAUUUAAAAUAAAAAAUAGGCAGAGUUGAAAGUUUCCACAUGCUUUGGCUGAAAAUAUAUAAAGGUUAUAAAAUAUAGAAAUUUAGUUUUAUAAAGAUUUCAUUUAGAUUUUAUUUACUAUGUAAUUACAUUCAAAAUUUAUAAUUUCUAAACAAUUGAAUGACGUGUAAAAUAUGUAUAAAUAUUUUAUAACGUUUCAAUUAUUAGGAAAGUGGUGAAGGACGUUAUCAUUUAAUAGUUCAAAUAAGUCCCUCUAUCCUUUUUUUGUAUUCGAAUUAAAGUACACGAUAAAAUUAUUUUUUAUUAGAGCAAAGUUUCAAUAAUAAAUACGAUUAGCGUGACUCGAAUCUAAGCUACACUUGAGACGAUGAACACUUUUAACCAUCAAGCCAUUACAUGGAAUUCAAUUUUAUCUAUUUUCAAUUCAAAAAUAAUUCAUAAAUAUCCAUGGGAAAAUCGAGUCACCCAUUAACCUCAGUGAACAAAUAUUCUUAACGGCAUUCAAUGUUACAAGUAACAUGCUAUGGGGUGGUUGGUUGAACGGAGAAGAAUCGAAGCUUGGGCUUGAAUUUAAGNNNNNNNNNNNNNNNNNNNNNNNNNNNNNNNNNNNNNNNNNNNNNNNNNNNNNNNNNNNNNNNNNNNNNNNNNNNNNNNNNNNNNNNNNNNNNNNNNNNNAAAAUAUAUUUAGGUUUAGGCUUUGAAUAAACUAUAGACACAUUGUUAUUUUUUUAUAUCAAUAAAAUUUAGGAUUUUGUCUCUAAACAAGUUGAUUUUUUUUAUUCAAAGUCUUAAUUUAACUAUUAAUAUCAAAAAUAUUUUUGGUCAAAAUUUAUCAAUUCAAAAUGUUAAUUUAAAUGUCAUCAUAUGAUGUGAUAAUUUUUUAUAAAAAUAAACAUGAUAAGUUAAAAAAAUUUAACUGAAAUACUAAAAGUGUUAAAUGACAAAACUACAAAUUUUAAAUUGAAAAUAUAUUUUUCGAAAUCAUUUUUUGUAAGGGGGUUGACUUUCUGUUUAAAAACGAAAAUGGAGUCGCCGCCAAUCCUUUUUAUUUAGGUGUGAUCGGAUCACCUCAUAAUUUAAUCAUUUUAAUAAAAGUUUAAAUUUACUAAAACGAUAAUUUUUUGUCUUCAAAAUCCAAAAAAAUGGGUUCGAGAGUCGGUUACGCUCGAGGAAGGAUUAGCACCCUCGAUAUGCCCAAAAUUGGUACCUAGUUGAUUACUUAAUGUCUUAAUGCCGAAAAUUGAAAUUUUGAAAAGAUUUUAAAAUACAAUCCUUUUUUAUCAAUGUUCAUUAUAAAAAUGCCUGAAUAAAUCGAAAAGAAAUUUAAAGACCCUCUCGUCUCGAGGUAACGAAAUGCCACGUCUCGUAAGUUAGGACACGACACUUGGAACCCUCAAGAAUAAGCUUGCCUUUAAUUUUUAUUGAAAUUCCAUGUAUUUUGAAAUUUAAAAUGAUAUUUUGCUAUUUAGGUUUAACGAGAAAAUUGAAACCCCGUAAGUUAGGAUAUGAUUUCUUGAAUCUCCAAAAUGCGAAAUAUUGCCUUAUUUUAAAAAUUUUAAAAUAGAACAGUUUAUUAUGGGUAUAUAAAAAUUAAACGCGACUUUUGAAGUGAUGAAAUGAAAUGGAAUGAUAAUAUAGAACAUGGAAUAACGAUUUAUGAAUAAAAUGUUACAUCAAUGAGUGACAAUAAUAUGAAAACACGAAUAAACGAAUUAUAGUACACAUGAUAGCAAUAAUCACACAAAGCAUGUCACUUUAAUAUCAAUAUUAACAAUCAAGGAAAGCGAACCAAAAUAAUAUAUGAAAAGGAAAGCGAACCAAAAUAAUAUAUGAAACAAUUUAAAGUAAAUAAUAGUUUAAAAUAAAUAAUUUACGAGAACAAUUCGAAGUAAAUGAUAAAAGGUUUCAAAUAAACAAUAUAAAAAAAACUUAAAAAUGAAUAAUAACAAAACAGUUUAAAAUAAAUAAUAUAAAAAUAACAUAUAAAACAAUUUUUUUAAAUAAUAUAUAAAAAUUUUAAAUGAUAAUAUAUAUAAUAGUUUAAAAUAAGUAAUAUAAUAAAAAAAUUUAAAUAAAUAAUAGGUAAAAAUAGUUUAGAAUAAAUAAUAUAUAUAAAAAACUUAAAAUAAAUAAUAACAAAAGAGCUCUUUUUUUAAAAAAGAAAAUAAAUGAAUUAAAUGGACUGAGUACGAGAUUAAAAUCGAACUAAAGUUCAGGGUUUAAAUUGUAAAUAAAUAAGAAAGGGUUACUAGGGACCAAAAUAGAACGUGCUUAAAAAGAAUGAGCGACUGACUGGGAAAAUAUUCCCAGCCCCUAUGCGCAGCGUUCCAGCAUGGACCAAAGUGAAGCAAGCGGAAGGAAAAAAAAAAUUAUACCGCAAAAUUAAAAAGGAAAAAAAAACAAGUGAGGACUAAAUUGCAAAGCAUCGCAAAAGCAGAAGGACCGCGUACGCAAAUAGCCCAUUUAAAGCAAAAACGCGUAGAUCUUGGUUGCAUUCGGGUCGAUUUUUGGGUCUGAUGCAAAACGGCAUCGUUUUGGCCACUGGUGCUUAAGCCCAAAACGGCGUCGUAUUAUACCCUAUAUAAAUAGCAAAAAUAGAAAAAAAAAAAACAUUUCAGCCUUCAUUUUGUUCUCUCAGUCUCCCUUUCACACCUCUUUUUCCGGCCAUUGGGCCCAGUUGUUGGCCACUGUGAUGGCCGCUGGUCACUGGCGACAGCGGCGCUGUUUGCGGUGGCCGAAAAUGCCAAAACCACACUUUUUCUCCUCUCUUCCCGAGUAGAACCCGGAUUUGGGGUUAAAACGGCCCGAAAGACCCUCGAAAUUCAAAAAACGAAGGAAAAAAAAAAGACAAAACAAAGGGACCUUUUGGUUCCCAGUUGCCGCCGGUGGGGUUUGCGGCGAGCCCACUGACUCAGCCACCCUCAAGACUGGAGAAGUCUCUGACCGCAGCGUUAAAGGUAAUAAAUUUCACCCCUUUUUUAUUUUUUCAAUAUUAUUUAUUUAUUUAUUUUGAAUAAAAAUAUAUAAAAAAGCACCUUGAUUUUCUUUAAAUCUGUUUCAAACUUCUUUUUGUAUUCAGAAUUAGUGUGUGUGUAAAAAAAUUACAAAUAUGAAGUUUGGGCUUUUAUAGCCGGAUUAAAAAACUCUUAGUUUUCUAUUUUUUGUUUGUUUUGCUUGGUUUUUUUGUUGUCUUGUGUGUUGAUCUUGUUGGAACGUCGGCACCCCUACGGCGCAGCGGAAAAUUAAAAUAUUCGGCGAUCCUAACCAUGGAUCCAUGUGUGAGGAACGAAUCGGGGUGAAAUAAGGUUUCGAAAUUACCGAAUCUUUAUUCUGAGAAGACAACAACGGCUCAGCAACGAGUAAUCUGAUCUACUAUCGAACCAAGCCGCAAUCUAUCGUGACUCCGGCUUAUACAUAAUCCACCCAGUUGACAAUGAAUGGAAGGAAUCCCCAAAAUUGUUUUGAAAAACUUUGUUUUGACGGAUGCUAGACCUCAAGCAAAGAAAAACGAGAUUUUUAUAUCUAUUUUUAGGGUUUCUAGAAAUUAAAUAAAUAUAACUAUGUUUUAAACCAAAAAUUAUAAUUACAUUAAUUAUAAUAAUGAUUUCGAUAAACUAUAUAUUUAUUUGAAUUUAUAUACUAACAAAAUUCAUGUUCUCAUUAUGCGUACAACAACCUUGUACAUAAUGUGUUUGAAAUUUGAUUAUCCAUUUAAAUUAAUUCUAUAAUUAAUUUAAUUCAAGCGACAACCAAACACAAUACCAGCUAUGUUUUAUUCCGUUCAUUUCAACUAUAGGUGUGACCCUGUAGGUUCUUGUAACGUUAGCAGUAAUACUAGAACGAUUCUAAUGUUACAAACAAUGAGUGGCCCCUAGCAAUGCAUCAUUACUACCUAAGUCACAAUAAAUCAUGAUUCGACAUAACCUUUUUAUGAUUAACCUUUCAAGCAAUAAUCCUUAAGUCCUUUAUCUCUGGAUUGGACACAAGUCAUGGAAUAGUCACACUUGCAUAGUCCAUUCCAUGUUCCUUGAUAUCUUAAGUAGACUAUGAUAUACAAAUAAGUAUGACAUCUCAUAUCAGCUUAUUUGAGCAUGGUCAUGCAUUUCUAGUCUCACUCAAUCAAGUGGCCUAAGAUAUUACUCCCAUUAUGUAGGAGGGACUUAUCCUAUAUCAAUCAACCAUAUCCCUCUACAUAGAUCGUGGUAUAUCCAACAUCAGCCUUUAUAGAACAACCAGUUACGGUGUACGUUUGACUGUAUCAAAAUAUACAACUCAUGAUGUUGGGAUUAUGAUGAUCUCAAGUUUGAGGAUCAUAUACAUAUUAAUCACUAUGAGUAAUGUUGUGACAAUUACAUAAUAAUCCAAGAAACAUACUCAUAACGGGUCAGUCCAAUAUGUCGUUCUCUAACACACAUAUUCAUGCAUCGAUUUUGGCAUUCCAUAUCAAUGACAACUCUUUAUCAUCAAUCAACUACAUGUUAGUCUUAAUGCAUUAUUGUUGUCCUAUCCAACAAUAAUACUUGACUAAGGAUCUUUUAAGAAUAAUCAUAUUACUCUCAGGACAUUAUUAUAAAACAGUUUAUUUAUACAUACAGAAAAGAAAUUGAAAUAAUAAUGGUAACGCCUUAUAUUAAUAAACAUGAUAAAUGAAGUAUGUUAUUACAACCAUCUCAUGAUUGAUCUUUGGGCAUACUCUAACAGAUCUCUUUUUGCAGGUGUCAAACGCGCGUGGAGGAGGCUGGCGUGCGGCGACGCUGCGGCAGCAAUGGCAGCAGUGGCAGGCCUAGGUACCUUUCUUCCUCUUUUUUAUUAAUAGUCUUUUUUUAAAGAAAAACCAAUUUAAAAGGAAGAAUAAAAAAUGAUAUAUAAAAAAUAAAAUAAUAAAUCGAAAUGAAAGCAGCAACCUUUUCUUUUAUUUCUGAUGUUCGUAACAAAGGGUCCGGACCCCUCUCGUUUUUACAAUCAUCGGCUUUAUAGCCGAAAGAAGAAAAAAGAAAAAAAAUCCCUUCCCCCGUUUUUGUGGUCUGUUUUUGUCUUUUUCCUUGGUUGCGUGUUUGCAAGUGACGGCGCAAGUGGGGUGGUCGACGUGACAAUGGGCAGGGGUUAGGUUCGGCGGUGGCAGAGCAAGUGGCAUGGACAGUGGCGGGUGGACGCUAGCUAGGUGCGGCUGCAGACUAGGGCUUAGGGUUUCCUGUUUCUUUUUUUGUGUUGGGCCAUUUGGGCCGUUUAGGUUUUGUUUAGGAUUGGGCUUGGGUUAGGUUUAAAUUUGUUGGGUCUGUUACUUGUGUUCGGGUUGAUUGGGUUUUGGGCCCCGGACAAAAUUUGGGCUGUACAAAUUCAACAUGUUACAAGAUAAAAUAUUUAGCAUAAUUUUUGGUAUUUCUUCAUAAUAAUUGAUAUACUCUUAUAAUGUUUGAUAUUUCUUCAUAAUUUUCGGUACACUUUUAUAAUUUUUGGUAUUCUCUUAUAAUUUUGGUACAGUUUCGAACUGAAAAUUUGAAAUGAGACCUUUUAGACCGAAAAAAUUAUUAACUUUUAAAUUAUUAUUUUUCAUGCUAAUAUUUAUAUAUAAUGAUAAUUUUUUAAAAAUUAAAAAAUUUAAUAAAAUCAACCAAGUUUUGAUAAUUACUUAUAAUUUUUGGUACUGUUUAAUGUUUUUUUAUAUUUCUUUGUAUUUUUUUUGUAUUCUCUCGUAAGUUUUUGGUGAUUCCUUGGAUACUAAUAUAGUUGCAUAUUUGUCUUGUUGUUUAUUUAAAGUGCGUUUUUCAUUUUUGGGUUGAUUAAAGGUCAAAACUUUGCAUUCUGAUUUUUGUUUCUAUUUUGUUGGUGAGAAAGCAGUGGAAAAUGAAAGAAAAUACUUUAACAUCACAUUAUUUAUUUAUUUUAUUUUAAAGAAAAGGAUGCUUUUUCACACUAAAAUAAGGUUGUAAAACUUCAAACUGCCUCAUGAAUUUUGAAUUGAUCUACACCGAAUGAAGCGGAUUUUUUUUGUUUGAAAAGUGGACGUGGGACGGGGCGGGUGGAGUUUUUUUUCUUUUGAAUAGUGGAUAUGAAGUGACUAUGGUAAUUUCUUGUCAUUUCCGACCUACUCCACUAUAUUCACUUAUUGUUUUAUCUUUGUAUAUAUAAACUAUUGAAAGGGUAAAAAUUUAAUAAUAGAAUAUAGAAAAAAUUCAUAUAUCUUAUGCUUAAAUACAUUUUUUAAAGAAUUAUGCUUAAAUAUUCACUUGACUUCAAAAAGAUUGAAAAAAAAUAAAGAUAAGUACCAACAAUUAAAUUGAAGUGGAGCGGAAUGGGGUGGAGAUGGAUGCAUCCAACAUUCAUGGAGUUGAUAGUGAAUUUCAAGAUUAUACAUCCAUAGCGGAGCGAGAUGGGUGGUAGAGCAGAGCGUACUAAUUAUGAGGCAAUAAUGAAUUUAGAAAUAUCCGUCCUGAUAUUUAAAUUUAGUGAUUGAGAGAGUUAACCCAUAAGUACAUUUUCUCUAUUUUUUUAAUUAAAGAAUGCGAUGUUUGUUUUUUUUUUAAGAAGCAUUACCUUCAAUAGUUAAUAACUUAUUUAUUAAAAAACAAAAAAGGGGUAAAAUAUUUAAAAUAAAAAAUGUGUUAUGCUUUGGCUGAGUAUAUAUAAAGGUUAUAAAAUAUAGAAAUUUAGUUUUAUAAAGAUUUCAUUUAGAUUUUAUUCAGAUUUUAUUUACUAAAGAAUAGUUUGACGUGUAAUUUCAUUCAAAAUUUAUAAUUUCUAAACGAUUCAAUGACGUGUAAAAUAUGUAUAAAAAAUUAAUAAAGUGGUGAAGUACAUGAUCAUUUAAUAAUUCAAAUAAGUCCUCCAUUCCCUCUGUUUUUUUAUUCUAAACGAUAAAAUUAUAUUUUUACUCUUAUAAAAAUAUAUUUUUUAAUUUUAAAUUUUUUAGAAAAGGUUUAAUUUCAUCUUUAUCCUUAAAUUGUACUUCUGGAUUCGUCACAGGAUAUGAACAUUGUUAACCCUACCAUGCACCAAAUACUUGUAUUUAAUAUAAUAAUUUUUUUUUUUUUUUUUGAAUUACAAUAUCAUGGCAAGCCCAAAUAAUAAAUGUAGCUAACGUGAUUCGAAUUCAAACCAUAUCUGAGAUGAGGAGUGAAUACUCUUAACUAUCAAACUAUCGCAUGGAGUUUAAUUUUAUUUAUUUUCAAUUCAAGAAUAAUUCAUAAAUUAUUCUGUUUCUGGAAAGUUGACAAUAAUUGUUUCAGAUUUAGAAUAUUUAUUGCCACGAAUGAGGUAUUGCCAUAAGCUUCCAUAGCCGCCCCCUCAUACUGCUGUAACCUCCUCUUGCUAUAUAUAUAUAUGAUUAUAAUUAAGUCCUUCAGGGAGUGGCGAAGUUCAUAAUUUUUUAAUAAUUCAAAUAAGUCCUCCAUUCCAUCUGCAUGUUUUUUAUUCCAACCAGAGUACCCACCAAUGUCGAACUUCUACAACAAGGUUAUUGGCGAAGGUUGGUUGGGCCGCCAAGACGGAGUGGUUGCGUUCACCAUCACCAAAGUGGCAGCCCCUCUCACGGUGGCCACGUUAGUAAUUAUCUUUUUUUCAUGGUUGGUUAAGAAACUCAUCAUCAAAACCAAGUCGUUGCCGCCGCCGCCACCAGGCCCGAUAGGCCUGCCGAUACUCGGCCACCUCCUUUUCAUCAAACCCGAUUUCCUCCAAUACGUAACCGAGCAAUCCAAAAUCCACGGCCCUAUCAUCAAGCUUCAGCUGGGAAGAAAAGUUUACAUCAUCAUAAGCUCACCAUCAAUCGCAAAACAAAUCCUCAAAGACCACGACGCCAUCUUCACCAACCGCGACAUUCCGGUGGCGGCCAUAAAAGGAACCUUUGGCGGACUCGACAUUGUGUGGAGAUCCAAUGGCCCAGAAUUACACAAGCUACGAAAGCUCGUCGUAAGUGAAAUCAUGAGCAACAAAGGCCUCAAUGCUUGCUACGAGUUUCGCCGACGAGAGAUCCGACAUAUGGUGAAGAAUAUUCAUGGAAAAAUCGGGUCACCCAUUAACCUCAGUGAGCAAAUAUUCUUAACAACGUUCAACGUUACGGUUAACAUGCUUUGGGGUGGUUCGUUGAAUGGAGAAGAAUCGAACCUUGGGCUUGAAUUUAAGGAUCGAUUCGAGGAAUUUUUGAGAUUGAUGGUAGAACCCAAUGUUUCUGAUAUGUUCCCGGUGCUCAGGCCAUUUGAUUUGCAAGGAAUUGAAUCCAAAGCCAAGAAAAAUAUUUCAUGGUUUUUUGAGUUUUUCGAAUCGGUGAUAGAGCAGCGAAGGAAGCUCGGAGAGGGACCAAAAAUGGCUGAUAGUAAGGAUUUUUUGCAGCAAUUGUUGGAGCUGAACCAAACAGGAGAUGUCAAAACUUCAUUAUCCAUGAAGGAAAUAAACGCUGUGCUGCUGGUAAGCAUACACACUAAAUUUUGAAAUCCGGAAUUCUAAAAAUAUAACUACAUUACUAAAUUUCAAAAAUUUACAAAAACUAACAUAUUUUAACCUAGGGGGUAUAUCAGUGUAAAACAAGUUUAAGUGGUUUUACAUUCUUUCUUAACCUUUUAAACGAAUAAUAUUUUAAUAAAACAACGGUCAUAUUUCAUAAAUUAUUCAUGUACAUCAUGCACAUCAAGUUUGGUAUAAAUUAAAAAAGUUUAACUAUUCGCUUUUUGUAAAAAAAAUUCAAAUGUUCAUUCGUUAAAAUAUUAAUCAUACAAGAAUAUACAAAAAUAUGUAAAUUACUCAAAUUUCACAUCGAUGUAAAUUGAUUCUUUCCCUUAUAUAUAGGCAUGGUUUAAAAAAAUACAUAACAAUCCAUGAAAUUGGUCGGUUUAGUUGUAAACAAUAUGAUUUUGGAGAUUUCUGAUAUGUUUUGUAGGGUGUGUAAUUGGUUGAUUUAAUUAGUUCAGCUUAAAAAGAGUAAUCGAUUUUUCUAAAAUAAAAAUUAGUAACCGAGCUGAUUUAAAGAUGAAAACACAAAAAUAUUUAAUUAAAAAAUAAGGAAUAUUGAUGGAUUUCAUUGUUUUUGUUAAAAUAUAAUGAAUAAAUCUGAAAUCCUGAAUAAUGGGUACAUUUAAUUGAUUGUAACUUAUUUUAAAGUAUAUAAAAUCCAGCGCUAUUGAUAUACAUUCAACCUAUAUAAUGUAUUUUAAUUUAACACUCUAAUCAUAAUUAAAUUAAUUAAAUUAUCUCAAUUAAUUUGAUUUUAAUUAAAAUCUGCUCAACUUUAAUCCUUUGUCUCAAAUUGUGGGUAUAGAAUAUUGUAAACGGUGCUACGGACACAACAUUUACAACAAUGGAGUGGGCGAUGACGGAAUUACUACGACACCCAGAUAAAUUGCGAAGAGUCGUCGACGAAUUGGAUGCAAUAAUCGGUGGCCCAAACAUCGUUGAAGAGUUCCAUCUUCCUCGCCUACUCUAUUUAGAAGCUGUGGUGAAAGAGACGUUACGAAUUCACCCACCGGCUCCUUUGCUAAUGCCACACAUGCCGAGCGAGACCAUCGUCGUAGCCGGUUACACUAUCCCAAAAAAUUCCAAUAUUUUCUUCAAUGUGUGGGCAAUACAAAGGGACGCCGAGUUCUGGGAAGACCCUCUUCAAUUCGAGCCAGAAAGGUUCUUGAAUGUCAUUGAGAAAAGGAAUUAUAAGGGAAAUAGUUUCGAUUUUUUCCCGUUUGGAUCGGGGAGGAGGAUUUGUGUUGGGAUUUCAAUGGCAGAGAAAAUUAUGAUGCUGGUGUUGGCGACGUUGUUGCAUUGUUUCGAAUGGGAAUUGUCGAAUGGGCAAAAACCUGAUGUGAAAGAGCAACUGCGAUUGGUGUUGUCGAAGGUGGAGCCGCUUAUUGUUGUGUCCAUUGCGCGUUCAUCUAAUUCAAUGCAAUAUCAAUAAAUUUGUGGUUAAAAUAUGCUUUAAGUCAUUAUGCUUUUCAUAAAUUUUAAAUUUAAUCCUUGUACUUUUAUUUAUAGAAAUUUAAUCUAUCUACUUAUUUUUAUUAGUAUUCACGCUCAUAUUUAAGUUAAUUCAAAUAUUUGUUUGGAUUCAAUUUAACUCAAUUUUCGAGUUUUAUUUAAAAUUUGAAACUUAAUCAAAAUUUAAACUUUGUCAUGAAUCUCAAAAUUUGAUUUUUUUUUUUUUUUUUUUAAAUGAAACCCGAAAUGUGGAAUUACAUAAAACUUGAAGUUGAAGCUCGAGACUAGUGAAUCAAUGUUAUAUUAAGGUAUAAAUAAGAUAUUUUGUGUUUAUAUUAUAAUUUCAUUAUUAAUAUGCAUAAGUGGUAAUAAUAUAAUAUUAAAAGGAAAAGAGAUAAGCAUGGUGAGUGGGGCGACGUUCACCCUACCAUGCAUCAAAUAGAUGCUGAUUUGAAUAUAUAUACAUAUACAUAUAUAAAGAAAAGAGAUAAUCACAAUUACUCGGUUAGUAUGAAUAUUAUUGAUCUUAUUAUCUGUUAAAUACUUACAUUUAAUGCAAUAAAUAAGUUUAGUUUGAUUUAUUUUCAUAAAUUGUUCUGUGUAAUUACAAUCAAAAUUUCUAUCUCUAGAAAGUUCAACAUUUCUGGAAAGUUGAUGAUUAAUUGUUUAUCACAUUUAGAAUAUUUAUGGCGACAGAGGAGGAAAUGCUAUUACCUCCAAUAGCCGCAACCUCAUAUUGCUGUAAUCUCGUUUUAUUAUAUAUGAUUGUAAAUAAGUCUUCCAAUUCCCAGGGAAGUGGUGAAUUACAUAAUUUUUUAAUAAUUCAAAUAAGUACUUCAUUCCCUCUGCUUUUUUUUCUAUUCCAACCAGACUACCCACCCAUGUCGAACUUCUACGAUAAGGUUGCUGGCGAAGGUUGGUUGCGCCGCCACGACGGACUGGCUGCGUUCACCAUCACCGAAGUGGUAGCCACUCUCACGGUGGCGACGUUAGUAAUUAUCUAUUUCUCACGGUUGGUUAAGAAACUCAUCAUCAAAACCAAGCCUUCGCCGCUGCCGCCACCAGGCCCGAUAGGCCUGCCGAUACUCGGCCACCUCCUUUUCAUCAAACCCGAUUUCCUCCAAUACGUAACCGAGCAAUCCAAAAUCCACGGCCCUAUCAUCAAGCUUCAGCUGGGAAGAAAAGUUUACAUCAUCAUAAGCUCACCAUCAAUCGCAAAACAAAUCCUCAAAGACCACGACGCCAUCUUCGCCAACCGCGACAUUCCGGUGGCGGCCAUAAAAGGAACCUUUGGCGGACUCGACAUUGUNNNNNNNNNNNNNNNNNNNNNNNNNNNNNNNNNNNNNNNNNNNNNNNNNNNNNNNNNNNNNNNNNNNNNNNNNNNNNNNNNNNNNNNNNNNNNNNNNNNNCCUCAAUGCUUGCUACGAGUUUCGCCGACGAGAGAUCCGACAUAUGGUGAAGAAUAUUCAUGGAAAAAUCGGGUCAUCCAUUAACCUCAGUGAACAAAUAUUCUUAACAACGUUCAACGUUACGGUUAACAUGCUUUGGGGUGGUUCGUUGAAUGGAGAAGAAUCGAACCUUGGGCUUGAAUUUAAGGAUCGAUUCGAGGAAUUUUUGAGAUUGAUGGUAGAACCCAAUGUUUCUGAUAUGUUCCCGGUGCUCAGGCCAUUUGAUUUACAAGGAAUUGAAUCCAAAGCCAAGAAAAAUAUUUCGUGGUUUUAUGAGUUUUUCGAAUCGGUGAUAGAGCAGCGAAAGAAGCUCGGAGAGGGACCCAAAAUGGCUGAUAGUAAGGAUUUUUUGCAGCAAUUGUUGGAGCUGAACCAAACAGGAGAUGUCAAAACUUCAUUAUCCAUGAAGGAAAUAAACGCUGUCUUGCUGGUAAGCAUACACACUAAAUUUUGAAAUCCGGAAUUCUAAAAAUAUAACUA
rnacentral:lncRNA from 1 species